AGGCCUUAGUUUAAUUAGAAUGUUUGGGUUGCAGUCNAAUGAAGUAAGUUANAGUUUUACAGGUCUC
rnacentral:tRNA from 1 species